AAUGAACGUUGGCGGCGUGGAUUAGGCAUGCGAGUCGUGCGAGAACCGUAGCAAUACGGGGACAGCGGCGAAAGGGAGAGGAACACGUGGGUACCUACCCUCGGACUCAGGAUAGCUAUGGGAAACUAUAGGUAAUACUGAAUAAUGUCUUCGGACCAAAGGUGUGAUUCCGUCCGAGGAGGGGCCCGCGUCCUAUUAGCUAGUUGGUGAGGUAACGGCUCACCAAGGCGAAGAUGGGUACGGGAUGUGAGAGCAUGAUCCCGCUCAUUGGGACCGAGACACUGCCCAGACACCUACGGGUGGCUGCAGUCGAGAAUCUUCGGCAAUGAGCGCAAGCUUGACCGAGCGACGCCGCGUGCGGGAUGAAGGCCUUCGGGUUGUAAACCGCGAAAGUAGGGAGGAAAUUGCUAGGGGUUCUCCCCUAGUAUUGACCUAUCUUCAGUAAGGACGGGCUAAGUUCGUGCCAGCCGCCGCAGUAAAAC
rnacentral:rRNA from 1 species